AUUGAACGCUGGCGGCAUGCUUUACACAUGCAAGUCGAACGGUAACAGGCCGCAAGGUGCUGACGAGUGGCGAUCGGGUGAGUAAUGCAUCGGAACGUGCCCAGUCGUGGGGGAUAACGCAGCGAAAGCUGCGCUAGUACCGCAUACGAUCUGUGGAUGAAAGCGGGGGACCGAAAGGCCUCGCGCGAUUGGAGCGGCCGAUGUCAGAUUAGGUAGUUGGUGGGGUAAAGGCCCACCAAGCCAACGAUCUGUAGCUGGUCUGAGAGGACGACCAGCCACACUGGGACUGAGGCACGGCCCAGACUCCUACGGGAGGCAGCAGUGGGGAAUUUUGGACAAUGGGCGCAAGCCUGAUCCAGCAAUGCCGCGUGCAGGAAGAAGGCCUUCGGGUUGUAAACUGCUUUUGUACGGAACGAAACGGCUCUGGUUAAUACCUGGGGCUAAUGACGGUACCGUAAGAAUAAGCACCGGCUAACUACGUGCCAGCCGCCGCGGUAACAC
rnacentral:rRNA from 1 species